UUAUUACUCCAUCCGUUCCGAAUUACUUGUUGCAGGUAUGGAUGUAUCUAGAUGUAUUUUAGUUCUAGAUAUAUUCAUUUCUGCGACGAGUAAUUUAGAACGGAAGGAAUACAUC
rnacentral:pre_miRNA from 1 species